UCGGUCAGACGCCCCUUGACGUUGUAUGAAUACCGCAAUCGAAAUUUUUUUAUAUGGGAAUGUAUUUAGAUGUUUUCUAUGUGGGGUGUGAACGGUAUCAUUUCUGAACAUUUAGUGCGAUAAUUUUUGUAAGAAGUUUGAAAACAUAUUUUACGAAAUAAUUUAUACUUAUUUAUAGGAUAUGUAGGUACGUGACAGUUGGCAACAGACAUGGUUUUCUUGCCAUCAGCACUUGCGUAUAACCGGAUAGGAAUGACCAUUCUUUUUGAUAUUUCCAAAUUGAGCCACUCCUGUUUCGUCAACAGUCCGGAAAUAUGUACGGAGUAUAAUAUCUAUUUCUAAAAUAAAAAAGUAUAAUUGGCGUUUGUAAAUUUGUUAGACGUUGUAAUUCUGCUUGUAAUGUAUUGAUGUGUACGGCAUAAGACAUAUAAACCCGUUUCUCCAGUCAA